GCAAGUCGAACGAUCCGUGGUCUUCGGACCACAAUGGAUAGUGGCGCACGGGUGAGUAACGCGUGGGAAUAUGCCUUGGAGUACGGAAUAACUAAUGGAAACGUUAGCUAAUACCGUAUACGCCCUACGGGGGAAAGAUUUAUCGCUCCAAGAUUAGCCCGCGUCUGAUUAGUUUGUUGGUAGGGUAAUGGCCUACCAAGACUACGAUCAGUAGCUGGUCUGAGAGGAUGACC
rnacentral:rRNA from 1 species